AUUGAACGCUGGCGGCAGGCCUAACACAUGCAAGUCGAGCGGCAGCGGGAAGUAGCUUGCUACUUUGCCGGCGAGCGGCGGACGGGUGAGUAAUGUCUGGGGAUCUGCCUGAUGGAGGGGGAUAACUACUGGAAACGGUAGCUAAUACCGCAUAACCUCGAAAGAGCAAAGUGGGGGACCUUCGGGCCUCACGCCAUCGGAUGAACCCAGAUGGGAUUAGCUAGUAGGUGGGGUAAUGGCUCACCUAGGCGACGAUCCCUAGCUGGUCUGAGAGGAUGACCAGCCACACUGGAACUGAGACACGGUCCAGACUCCUACGGGAGGCAGCAGUGGGGAAUAUUGCACAAUGGGCGCAAGCCUGAUGCAGCCAUGCCGCGUGUAUGAAGAAGGCCUUCGGGUUGUAAAGUACUUUCAGCGGGGAGGAAGGCGGUGAGGUUAAUAACCUCAUCGAUUGACGUUACCCGCAGAAGAAGCACCGGCUAACUCCGUGCCAGCAGCCGCGGUAA
rnacentral:rRNA from 1 species